UGGCAGUGUAUGUUGGCUGCUUGAAGUUCUGACAGCAGCUAACAUGCUGCUGCUCUC
rnacentral:pre_miRNA from 1 species